CAGCCACUCUUGAGCCCUGCCGGACUCCGUGGCUUCCUUCGGGGUGCGUGGCUCCGCCCCUUUGUGGGCUGCGCGGGGCUUACCGGGAAGAAAACGGAGUCCCGGUCACCUUUAGAGACCUGAAAGUAGGGUUUUGGCUUAGGUAGCGGUGCCGAGAUGUGGUUCGAGAUUCUGCCUGGAGUCGCCAUUAUGGCCGUGUGUUUGAGUAUCCCCGGAGUGGCCACCGCGUACAUUAACAAGUUCACUAACGGGCGCAAGGAAAAAAGGAUUGCUCAUUUUCAGUAUCAGUGGAGUUUGAUGCAAAGAGAUAAGCGCAUCUCUGGAGUUAAUCGUCACUAUGUCGCUAAGGGUUUGGAGAACAUUGAUUAAAGAAGCAUUUUCCUGAUUGAUGAAAAAUAACUCAUUUAUGGUCAUCUACCCCUGUUAGAAGGUUGUGUAAUGUAUUAUGUAACAUGCAAUGUGUUAUAUAGUACUUAAUAAAAGUUAAUUGAAAAAAAUCAAAAACA